UUUAUGGAGAGUUUGAUCCUGGCUCAGGAUGAACGCUGGCGGCGUGCCUAAUACAUGCAAGUCGAGCGAACAGAUAAGGAGCUUGCUCCUUUGACGUUAGCGGCGGACGGGUGAGUAACACGUGGGUAACCUACCUAUAAGACUGGAAUA
rnacentral:rRNA from 1 species